GGAGGGGUUCCCGAGUGGACAAAGGGGACAGACUGUAAAUCUGUUGCUUUAGGGCUUCGGAGGUUCGAAUCCUCCCCUCUCCA
rnacentral:tRNA from 1 species